ACAUGCAGUCGAACGGCAGCACAGUAAGAGCUUGCUCUUAUGGGUGGCGAGUGGCGGACGGGUGAGGAAUACAUCGGAAUCUACCUUUUCGUGGGGGAUAACGUAGGGAAACUUACGCUAAUACCGCAUACGACCUUCGGGUGAAAGCAGGGGACCUUCGGGCCUUGCGCGGAUAGAUGAGCCGAUGUCGGAUUAGCUAGUUGGCGGGGUAAAGGCCCACCAAGGCGACGAUCCGUAGCUGGUCUGAGAGGAUGAUCAGCCAWACUGGAACUGAGACACGGUCCAGACUCCUACGGGAGGCAGCAGUGGGGAAUAUUGGACAAUGGGCGCAAGCCUGAUCCAGCCAUACCGCGUGGGUGAAGAAGGCCUUCGGGUUGUAAAGCCCUUUUGUUGGGAAAGAAAAGCAGUCGGCUAAUACCCGGUUGUUCUGACGGUACCCAAAGAAUAAGCACCGGCUAACUUCGUGCCAGCAGCCGCGGUAAUACGAAGGGUGCAAGCGUUACUCGGAAUUACUGGGCGUAAAGCGUGCGUAGGUGGUUGUUUAAGUCUGUUGUGAAAGCCCUGGGCUCAACCUGGGAAUUGCAGUGGAUACUGGGCGACUAGAGUGUGGUAGAGGGUAGUGGAAUUCCCGGUGUAGCAGUGAAAUGCGUAGAGAUCGGGAGGAACAUCCAUGGCGAAGGCAGCUACCUGGACCAACACUGACACUGAGGCACGAAAGCGUGGGGAGCAAACAGGAUUAGAUACCCUGGUAGUCCACGCCCUAAACGAUGCGAACUGGAUGUUGGGUGC
rnacentral:rRNA from 1 species